AAAACAUUCUGUUUGCUUCCUGUUUAUUUAUUUUAGGCCUGUCUAUUAAUGUGGCAUUUUUGUUUGAAUGUGUUUGUACAUUUUCAGAUCAGAUACGUGCUAAUAGUACUUAAGAGGCAUUACUUGGAGUGAUGUGUCACUGUCACAGCAAUAAAUAGCCUUUGAAACUAGCAAAUACCAGUUUUAGCUUUGAACCAAACAGAGUCCUAGGAAACAAAAGCAAAAAAGCAAAAAAAAAAAGAAAGUAAAAGAGUUUCACAUACCGAAGAAAUGGAAGUAUGGCUUGUAUUGAAGAUCACUUUCUACAGUGUUUUCUAUGGCUUUGGUAUCUGGUGACACACUAAGUCCCUUACAUGAAUAAUUUGCUUUAGAAAUGUAACUUUGAAUUGGAUGUAACAUCCCAUCAGCCAUAUGCUACUAUCUUGGAUGAAGGUUGUGGAUGCAUCCUACUUUAAAAAAGCAGCAGUUCUGUGCCUUUGUUUGAUGAAGAGUCUCUUGAUGAAAAACCCUUUAGAAACCACGAGCUGCCUCAUCCUGCUGGUCAUUUUGGAUGGUCCCCACCGGUCUUUCUCCAUGCUGGUCAAACACUGAGGCAGCGACACGUCCAGCCCUUGACCCAUUCCAUGUCCCAGAUGAGGGAGGCUGUACCUGGAGCAGUCGAUUCAGAACACAGGGAGAAGCAAACCCUCACAGCUGGAGCAAAAGUGGCCAGCAGCAGCCCAUGGACCCAGGAGGGCCAGAAGGUCCAGAGGCAUGUCCUUUGGGGAGGAUGUUGCCCUGCUGCUCCCUGUGCUGAGGACAAGCCGCCCUGCUGCUGCCUGGCUGCUGGAGGUGGCGGAGACACAUCCCAGUGCUGCACCAUGGGGGUCUGCUUCCCCUUUGCUCUCCCGCCACCCUGCAGCUUCACUGAGGGCAAGGCACAUUUUGUGGGGUUAUUUGGAUGGCAAGGGAUGAGUUCCUUUUUUUAUUCAGGGCUGAGCAGAGUAUUUUAAUUGUUUUUGUUGUUGUUGUUAAUUCAUUUCCAUAAAUAAAAAUGGAAAACAACUUACAAUUGAUGACAGCUAGUUGAAUUCCUCCUCUUCCUGAGUACAUUUCACUGCCUGCUCCAGUCACUUUGCCUGCCUGUCCGUCCCACAUUCUCAGGGCCCAGAUGCAGAAUAAUUCAUUUUACUAAUGCUUGUUUCAUAUUAGUCCUUUACCAGCCUCAGAGAUUGUUUACUCUCCUCUUAGUAAUUUGAACUGGACUUUUCCAAAUUCCUGCAAUAACAUUUUUAAACACUUCAGCCAGAAAAUUACAGCAUCCUUCUUUUCAAGUCUAGAUAUCAUCAUCAUCUCUCUCUCUCUCCAUUUAUAUAGCCAGACUUAAUACACAUAGAUAACCUUCUGACUGUAUGCAAAGAUGAUUUGGGAAGUCCGAUACAAGGCCUGAUACCAGGUAGGUUUUGCAGUUGCUGCUGUAGUCUCUUGACACAGGCAGGUAGCCACAUAGGAUGUUGGUGAGAAAUAUUCUACCAAACCUCAGCCGCAGGAUUUUCAAAGGCAUUGCACAUAUUUUUCAGGCUACUGCAUGGAGCAUUCCCCUGAGAGCACAGCAGGCUUGGAUUUACUGCUGCUGGCUCAGGGUGUGUUGCGCUCAUGUAGUUGGAGUUUUCCCUAUAAAUCACAUGCAAGUUACCUACUUUUGCCUUUGUAGCAAAGGAAUGAGAAGCCUGCUCACAGUGAUGCAUGGCUUAAUAUUAGAUGCUUUCUAGUAGUGUGUAGCUGAAACAUUGUGAAGUUGGAACAUUUUACAGAGGUGAGUUUACUGUGCUGGUAUUCAAUGCCACAACACACUGGCAUUGCUUCCAAAUUUCUGAGAGGUUUUCACAGCUCAUUUGCCCUCAGGUUCAAGCACAGGUGAGUCAUGCUGAUGGUGAUAGGGUUCACCUGAAGGCUGCUUCUUCACCUGGGCUUGUUGUGUGACCAAACAGUCACUGUGUCAAACACUGUGAAUAAAUGACAUCAGUGCCUCUUGUAGGUGGCUGUGUGCCUAUUUGAGAAGGUCUGGCCAGCACAUGCUGGAGGAAGGAAGAAAGGGUGAAGAAGAAAUACGAGAGAGAUGUUAACAGGCACAAAUCUUUGCUGCGUUCAUCAGGCUCUGGGUUCAGAGACAGAAGUCCAACUUCAGCCCUUCUGUGGAGGCGUAUGGUUAACCCUCCCUAGUUUUUAGCGGAUUCAUAAGUAGUAAAAGGAAUUAGAAAUGUGGACUGGUAAUUACCGUUCAUAAAUUUCACAGUUAACACAAGUCUGUGUGAGGAGAUAUGGUGCCAGAUGUCUGGGCUGGCAGUGGAUGAGGUUGCUGCAGGAACAGAAGUGGCGUCACCACAUCGGUAUGGCACAGGACCCAGGCAAAUGAGCCGCGCUGGGAGAGGCUGCUCAGUGCUGUACUGCACUGCCAUGGUUGUCUUCUUUCUGACACCGUCGCUCACCUCUUUGCAUGGUGCCAUGUAGGAACGAGAGUGCAUUCUCAGACAAUGUAGGGGCAUAAGGUCUUGCUGGAAAUGGCCAUUCCCAGGGCAGAAUUGUAGAGGAAGCAACCCUCAUUUCUGCCAGUGCAAAAUCAGGGUGACUUCAAACAGCCUUUGCUGUAGGGUGCAGAAAGAUUUGUUUCCUUUCUCUUCUUAUAUUAUUUUUCAUUUUGCAAACCCCAAAUCUCUACUUAGUAAGUUUUUGCUUUUCAGCACUGUUUCACCACGUAGAGCAGGGAUGUCCAGCAAGAGGCUUGCAGGCAGAAUCAGGCCUGUAUGUUUGAUCCCAGAAGAGUGAAAACUGGGCCGACACAGCAUGUACCAACGCAAUCCCUUCCUUUUUCUCAAGGAAGAUAUGUGCCUGGAGAGGAAGCAUAUGCUGCCCGGCUGUCUUUUUUCUCUCAACCUCUUUCUCUCAUAUGCCAAAGGAAUUGCGCUGCAUGCUGCACAUCCCUGUACUAGUACUGAAGGAGACUGGGGAGGAGGGAUGAAAUACCAGGAAACUGCUGAAUAGGAAGGUAGAUAUAGCAGAUAUUUGAACCAUGUACUUCUGACCUCAGCAGCCUUUAUCUAUGGAUGGUUUGUGUAGACUAUUAAUUAGCUAUGCCAUAGGUACAGAAAGACUAGAGCAGACCUAAUGCAUCACUAAUUGCAAUCUAACAGGAUUUAUUAAAUCAGGCUCGCUCAGUCAGGGUUUUUACAUUAGCUAGGGAAAUCCCAGCUUCCUGGUCAUUCUGUGACACCCCUUGCAAAGGAGAUAAAAAAAAAAAAAAAAAAAAGCAGACACCAAUUAGUUAUAUAAAUAGUUUCUUCUGUAUUGGUAGUUCUCCCAUAGUUAAAACCCACUGCCCAGGUAUUGGAUUCCCAGCAGAACAGUAGCAGUCUCCAAUGGCAGAGAAGUGAUUUUAAAGGUAGGAAGGAGUCUCCAGAGAUACAGAGCUAUUUAUACCAAAGAAGGCUUCUUGCUUGCUCAGAAGUCUGAUCCUGAACCUUCCAAGUCUUUUGAUUGUUUCUUCUGCACAUUCCCUGAAAGCACUUUGGAUGAGGAUGGUUUGCUCUCUGCACAGUUGUAGCUUGCAUAAAUUAUUGUGCUUUAUGAGAGUGCAAUAGGACUGGUCCAUACGCACAUGAUUUUAGGAACUGGGUGGCAAGAACAUCCAGCACACGUGCACUGUUCUAUACAGGUGAUAGAGUACUCUGGUGAUGACAGCACUAGAUUUUCUUUCUGUUGGCUUAAAAUUUAUUUCACAUAUGUUUUGCUUUCUUUUUUAACCAGACGAUGAUUUCAUUGAUUUGAUUGUUAUCUUAUGACCUCAUACAUCAUCUUAUAUCACCAGGACUGCCUACAAUGAAACAGCUCUCCCACAUGAUGAAGAGAGUACCAUGUCAACUUGUAUGCAUACUGGUGAUAGUGAUAUGUGCAGAAAAGAAUAAAAGAGUGUGAGCAGGAUAGCAAGUCUUCAAGUGACAAGAAGAGUUUCCAAAGGUCAGGCAACCAUGUUUUGAAAGUGUUGUAGCUUAUCCUGCUCAGUAAACUUUACUAGCAUGACUCAAAAUACAUUUUUAAUCGAAAUUUCCUGGUGGCAGAUCCCUGGUCUAGAUAUUAUGCAUAAGAAAAGCUAAAAAUCAGUUGAAAUCAGACCUUUGUAUUAUAGUUUUGCAAAGCAAAUUGAUAACACUCUUCCGUAUCUGAGAAUUUUGGAUUCAAUUUAUUGUGCAGUUUUCUACAACUUUUGAUUUUUGUGUGAUUUUAAACAAGAUCUUUUAAGGCUCCAUAAAAGCAAGUGUAUGACUUCCACUUGAGCUUUCACAACACAGAGCUCUCUGUCUAGUAAAAUACCACUGACAAUGAUACUGUUGAAUCUGUUCACCCAAGAGGUGAGAUUUACUUUUGUUUUUCAGGGACAGAGACAUCAGUCUAUAGAUCUGGAAGAGUAGGUUUGAAGCACCCCAUGGUGAUUUGCUCAUCUCACUAAGCUACACACCAGGAGAGCAGGUAUGUCUUUUGCCUUCAUGGCCAAUUAGCAUUAGUGUCUGCAGGAAAAUUCAGAUGACUGUAGCUAGCCCCCAGGGCAUGAUAUCACCCUUUCAGCUGGCUAAGGUAAUGCAGAGGGCUCUUUCCUUAUUAACCUACUCCUGCUGAAACAGGCACACACCAGGGAGCCAUCAUAAGGCAAAAGGAAUUGAUAUUUUGGCAGGUUCCACACUUCAUAAUAGCUCUGGAAAUAGAACCUGCCCAAAUAAGCAUAUGUAGGACUAAAUUCUGCCUCUUAUUUCACACAGACAUUGGUAUUGAAGCUGAUGAGAGCUGAGUGUGCUCCCAGAAGAGGUCUUUGGAGAAGCUCCAGCAUCUCUUUUGCCUGGAUAAAGUGAGCAAGGUUGACACAAGGAAGGGUUUUCACAGGACAUGCUUUUUGAUAGAAAAUCCCAAUUCAGUAGAGUACCCAAAUGGCUUUCAGAUAACUGCAGCCAGGCCAUUGCUGUGGGAUAGGUGUGUGCCAUGAGGCAGUUCUGGAGCCCUUUGCCCACCCACUGUCCUGGCUGGAGCAGGGUGGGAGGCUUCCACCAGCCGCCUGCAGUAUGGGAGGUAUUGCCCAGAGCAGUGGAUCCACAAAACCUGCCACUGGGAGGAAUGAGCAGGUGGGACAGACAGAAGAGAAGCCUGCUGCCAAGGAGAAAUCUUGGCCAGCACUUGUCCAUCAGCAAAGUUGCUGUGCCCCCCUCAGCCUCAAUAUCCUGCUUCCUCUUC
rnacentral:lncRNA from 1 species